rnacentral:rRNA from 1 species
CAGCCGCCGCGGUAAUACGAGGGGGGCAAGCGUUGUUCGGAAUUAUUGGGCGUAAAGGGCGCGUAGGCGGUUUGGCAAGUUUGGUGUGAAAUCUUCGGGCUCAACUCGAAGUCUGCAUCGAAAACUGCCGGGCUUGAGUAUGGGAGAGGUGAGUGGAAUUUCCGGUGUAGCGGUGAAAUGCGUAGAUAUCGGAAGGAACACCUGUGGCGAAAGCGGCUCACUGGACCAUAACUGACGCUGAGGCGCGAAAGCUAGGGGAGCAAACAGGAUUAGAUACCCCCGUAGUCCCUGUCUCUUAUAA